UACGUAGGUCCCAAGCGUUAUCCGGAUUUACUGGGUGUAAAGCGUCUGUAGCUUGAUAAAUAAGUCUAUUUUCAAAACCCACGACUUAAUCGUGGACAGGGAAUAGAUACUGUUUGACUAGAGGUCAUUAGGGGUUAGUGGAAUUUCCGGUGGAGCGGUGAAAUGUGUUGAUAUCGGAAGGAAUGCCGAAAGCGAAAGCAGCUAACUAUAAUGAACCUGACAGUGAGAGACGAAAGUUUGGGUAGCAAACGGG
rnacentral:rRNA from 1 species